rnacentral:rRNA from 1 species
ACGGAAGGCAGCAGUGGGGAAUAUUGGACAAUGGGGGAAACCCUGAUCCAGCGACGCCGCGUGAGUGAAGAAGUAUUUCGGUAUGUAAAGCUCUAUCAGCAAGGAAGAAAAUGACGGUACUUGACUAAGAAGCUCCGGCUAAAUACGUGCCAGCAGCCGCGGUAAUACGUAUGGAGCAAGCGUUAUCCGGAUUUACUGGGUGUAAAGGGAGCGUAGACGGCAAAGCAAGUCUGAAGUGAAAUCCCGGGGCUCAACCCCGGAACUGCUUUGGAAACUGUUUAGCUAGAGUGCAGGAGAGGUAAGCGGAAUUCCUAGUGUAGCGGUGAAAUGCGUCGAUAUUAGGAGGAACACCAGUGGCGAAGGCGGCUUACUGGACUGUAACUGACGUUGAGGCUCGAAAGCGUGGGGAGCAAACAGGAUUAGAUACCCUGGUA